AGCAGCCGCGGUAAUUCCAGCUCCAAUAGCGUAUAUUAAAGUUGUUGCAGUUAAAAAGCUCGUAGUUGAAUUUCGGGGUUAGUAGGUUGGUCAUGCCUCUGGUAUGUACUGGUCUCACUGAUUCCUCCUUCCUGAUGAGCCGUAAUGCCAUUAAUUUGGUGUUGCGGGGAAUUUGGACUGUUACUUUGAAAAAUUGAGUGUUUAAAGCAAGCUAACGCUUGAAUACAUUAGCAUGGAAUAAUGAAAUAGGACGUUCGAUCCUAUUUUGUUGGUUUCUAGGAUUGACGUAAUGAUUAAUAGGGAUAGUUGGGGGCAUUAGUAUUCAAUUGUCAGAGGUGAAAUUCUUGGAUUUAUUGAAGACUAACUACUGCGAAAGCAUUUGCCAAGGAUGUUUUCAUUAAUCAAGAACGAAAGUUAGGGGAUCGAAGACGAUCAGAUACCGUCGUAGUCUUAACCAUAAACUAUGCCGACUAGGGAUCGGAUGAUGUUAAUUUUUUAAUGACUCAUUCGGCGCCUUAAC
rnacentral:misc_RNA from 1 species